rnacentral:rRNA from 1 species
AUUGAACGCUGGCGGCAUGCUUUACACAUGCAAGUCGAACGGUAACAGGCCGCAAGGUGCUGACGAGUGGCGAACGGGUGAGUAAUGCAUCGGAACGUGCCCAGUCGUGGGGGAUAACGCAGCGAAAGCUGUGCUAAUACCGCAUACGAUCUAUGGAUGAAAGCGAGGGACCGUAAGGCCUCGUGCGAUUGGAGCGGCCGAUGUCAGAUUAGCUAGUUGGUGGGGUAAAGGCCCACCAAGGCGACGAUCUGUAGCUGGUCUGAGAGGACGACCAGCCACACUGGGACUGAGACACGGCCCAGACUCCUACGGGAGGCAGCAGUGGGGAAUUUUGGACAAUGGGCGCAAGCCUGAUCCAGCAAUGCCGCGUGCAGGAAGAAGGCCUUCGGGUUGUAAACUGCUUUUGUACGGAACGAAACGGUCUUGGUUAAUACCCUGGGCUAAUGACGGUACCGUAAGAAUAAGCACCGGCUAACUACGUGCCAGCCGCCGCCGUAA